rnacentral:misc_RNA from 1 species
AUCAUCAAAAUCAAAUCUCAACCAUAUUCCUUUAGGCAGGUCAUGCUGCAAUUUGUCUGUUCCCUGAUCAGGAAUCGUGCUACAGCAGAUUAAAAAAAAAAAAUCAAUUCAAUGCCUGGGUGCAAUACUUAUGGAGACACGGAUACCUAAAUAAACAGUAGUCUAACCACCCAUGAGUGAAUUAGAAGGAUCAAUCUGAUGAUCACAUUUCAAAGGGUCUUAAUGAAUAGAAGCCAUAUCACAGGGGUCAUAACCUUACAUAUGUAUUUCCCCCAAUAGUAGACACAACAUAUGUUUUCUCACUGGCAUAAACUUAAGUGAGCGCAAAAAGAUCAUGGAAAUCAAAUUUGAUUAAUGACAACACACCAAAAGGAAAUAGCAAGACUCAAGCACAUCUAUUUCACUUAACCAAAAAAAUAAUCUAAAUCUAACGGCAAGGAAGAGAUCAGUAAUGCUAUAAUCUCUGCAUCAUGCUACAUGAUGACGUAUAGAUACGUAGCCCAUAUAGAAAAGCAGCCUUCCAGUACAGCAAGAACCUGCUUUAACCUCCUUUUGGAUACCAAGAGUGUCCAGCCACAAAAGUUCAGCCCUAAUGUGCGACUAAACCAUGCAAAUCUGAUACAGGCAAUUUAGAUUAGCUUCAAUCUGUGUUUAAUAUUUCUUUAAUGUUGUAUAAUCACAGGCUCCCAAAAAGUGUCUUAGUGUCAAGCAACAGUCUAUAGGCUCUAUACUCAAUAUGAACAGUUAACAAUAUAUCUUAGUAUUUAUACAUCCACCAGCGGCAAGAAUCUAGUUUAUCUACAUAUCAUUGUUUGUUUUACAUAUCCAAUCGGAAGUAACUAAUUUUCUUCAGAAAUUUUUUAUUAAGCAUGAUAUCCCAAAACUACAGAUAACAAAUGCCUUGCUGCCAGAUUACUAAAAAAAAUUUCUUUUAUCAACAAAAAAUGAAGUAGCUUCCUCCAUAAAUAAAAUGACUUGCAGGAAAUUAAUCAGAAGCAAGCAGAUAUACCUCAUCAGCAAAGUGCUUUAAUAAUGCCACAUUGUUUAGGGAUUCUCACAUUCCUGUUUAAAACUCAAAACUGAACUGGUGGAAUCAGUUAACCAAAUUUUCAGAUGAACUGAUUCCUCUGUUUUAGCUAACUGACUUUUCAAUCUAAUCUCAUUCAUCCAACACUAAUCCCAUUUUGGCCAAUUCAAAGAAACAUUAAUUUUUCCUAGCCCCCAAAAGAACUGAUUCUUUUCAUUUGAUUACCCAUGAAGUAUGGCAGGAAGUUUGGAGGGGGUAAAAAAAAAAAAGGUGGUUACAAUUAUGGCAAUGGCAAGUAAGACCCCAUAAGACAAUUUUGAAGACAACACUCUUUUUUGCAUGAAGUGAGUACUAUUAGUCCUCAGAAUUGCAACCCCACCAUUGAAAACUUAAGCUCCAAGCAUUGUACUAUGUAAGGGUCCCUACGUAAUAUAGGAAGUAAUAGUUUAAGAAAAAGUGAAUAAAAAUUUCCAAUUUACCAAAAAGAAAAGGAAAUGUUAUAGACCAACUCACAUUGUGUGCACUGAUAUCAAGUCAUUAAAGUACAUUUAAAUUUGUCAUAACCUAGUGACUUCUCUCAGAAUAAGGAGAACAAAAACCUUGCAUAAACCAGAAGAGGACCCAACAGGAAGGAAUUUUCAAGUGUCCUUAGGUUAGGAUCUUUUGGAUCAGCAAAGAAAGUAGGCAUUGCCACUGGUGUUCCCGUUGUAUGAGCAGCAUAGAAUAGAGUAUAUAAGUGUGGAAUAAGGCGAUAACGUCUCUUCAAUGCCAGUCGGCAU